rnacentral:lncRNA from 1 species
GAUGAAGGAAAUUUAGACACCAUUAGGGAAACUUUCGAACGGGCUAUAGCAAACGUUCCAUUAACCAAGGAUAAAACAUUUCUGGCGAAGGUAUAUUUAUUUAUGGAUAAACUAUGCCCUCUUUGAAGAACUUGAAGCGGAAGAUGAAGAAAGAACACGGCAGGUGUAUCGUGCUUGUUUAGAGUUGUUACCACAUAAAGUCUUCACAUUAGCAAAUAUGGCUUUUAUAUGCUCAGUUCGAAAUCAGGCAUAAAAAUUUGUCUGCAGCCAGGAAAACUUUGGGUAUGGGACUAGGAAUUUGCCCCAAAAAAUAAACUAUUUAGAGGAUACAUGACCUAGAAAUUCAACUGAGAGAAUUCGACAGAAGUAGGAUUUUAUAUCAAAAAUUUUUAGAGUUUGGCCCGGGAAAAUUGUAUAACCUGGAUGAGGUUCGCAGAGUUAGAGACAAUUUUGGGAGAUAUUGUAAGAGCUCGAGCUAUUUAUGAACUAGCCAUCAACCAACACGCUUGGACAUGCCAGAACCUGUGGAAAGCGUACAUAGAUUUUGAAAUCGGACAAGAAGAAAUAGAAAUGCUAGGCAAUUAUAUGAGCGGUUGUUAGAACGAACUAUGCAUGUGAAGGUAUGGGUAUAAUAAAUAUAUAUUCUAAUUGUUUUAAUUCAUUGUUUAGGCCAUUUUUUCUGCAUGACGAAAUAAAACAUGCAUGAUAACGCAAGAACUGUUUUUAGUAACUUGCAUUCUGUUUAAAAGUUCAUUCUUCAAUAUUUUUCACACACUAAAAAUUGAACACAACAACACACUUUUUUUAACCAAGUCAUCAUUUCCCAUUCACCCCAUUCAUAAUUCGUCAUUAUCAUUAAAGAAAACUACUAAUUAAUGAAUAGCUCUCCUGCAAAGACAAAGGGAGCAAAACAUAGUCAGAGAACAAAUAGAACUCUUUAUAGUUUUGCUAACAACUAAUCUUGAAAUAUUGAUGAAAAUUCUCUGAAUUUUAUAACUAAUAUGAAUAAACUAUUUCAUAAUAAUUACUAUUACUGAAAUAUUAGCUGAAAAUUGAAAUACUUUUAUCCUCCCCCCAACAAUCAAAACUCA